rnacentral:rRNA from 1 species
AACGAACGCUGGCGGCAUGCCUAACACAUGCAAGUCGAACGAUCCCUUCGGGGAUAGUGGCGCACGGGUGCGUAACGCGUGGGAACCUGCCCUUAGGUUCGGAAUAACUCAGAGAAAUUUGAGCUAAUACCGGAUAAUGUCUUCGGACCAAUGAUUUAUCGCCUUUGGAUGGGCCCGCGUUGGAUUAGCUAGUUGGUGGGGUAAAGGCCUACCAAGGCGACGAUCCAUAGCUGGUCUGAGAGGAUGAUCAGCCACACUGGGACUGAGACACGGCCCAGACUCCUACGGGAGGCAGCAGUGGGGAAUAUUGGACAAUGGGCGAAAGCCUGAUCCAGCAAUGCCGCGUGAGUGAUGAAGGCCUUAGGGUUGUAAAGCUCUUUUACCCGGGAUGAUAAUGACAGUACCGGGAGAAUAAGCCCCGGCUAACUCCGUG